GAGUCAGGAGGAGAGGAGAGUUAAGAUACAACAAAUAGAGCAGCAGAAGGCAAGAGGAUCAAGAAAUGAGAAUUUUCAAGCGUCAGUGUGAAUGUGUGUGUGUGUGUGUGUGUGUGUGUGUGUGUUUGUACAGCUGUGUGUUUGAGGGAGUGAGCUUCUGGGGGAGUUGAAAGACCUUCAGGCACUUGGUGACAGACUGAACCGUAUAUUACAUUAAAGUCAGCCUGUGCAUACAGUUGCAGGUGUGUUAGACUGUGUGUGUGAGUGUGAGUGUGAGUGUGUGUGUUUGUGUGUGUCUGUGUGUUUGUCUGUACAAGCCACAGGUUGAGCUAGUUGAAUCAUGCACACCACACUAAGCAUUUAUACACUAGGAGAGGCAGGACUGAAAUCCUAGUAAAAAGAAGAAAAAAGCAUCAAAUCUGCCCACCCUUUUGAAAACCAUUUGAAGACUUUCCCCUGGAUCUGAUUGGCUGAAACACUUCCUUAGUGCUAGUCGCAAUAGUUUCUUGCAACAAGAAUUAAACUGAACUCAAAUGAACUGAAUCAGAUAGAUUUAAUCAGAACUGAACUGAAAUUGCCUUUUGUUGUUGUUGUUGUUGUUAUUGUUGUUGUUGUUGUUGUUGUUGCUGAUGAUCUUGAUGCUGGGAGCUUGUCCCAGUCCACGGAGGGGAAAAAAAGGAACCUUGACGAACUGUGCAGGUCCUGUGUAGGAUACUAGUCAAAGUAGCUGAUAGUUCAUAAACGCACCCUGGUACUCCAGACACCAGUGUUUUAGUUGUCAUCUCCACUCUGUCUGCUGUGUCAUCCUGUGUUCACCAUCAGUCUCCAUCAAGUCUCUAAGGAAGGCAACAGGACUGGAUGGGGUCACGGGGAAAUAUAGAGCAUUUAAACAAUGAAUCAUUCACUUAAACAAAAGUAGGGGGAUUUACUGUAGAUGUGCUAUUGACACUGAAACUGCAAGGGUUCGUUGACGUUAUAAGUUGCUGUGUUACUUUUGUGUCCUGUCUUUGAAGUACUCGGUUAAUCCUCUGUCAUCUCUGAGGUUAAAGAAGCACACGAUGGCUACGGACUGGAGCAGCCAUGGAUCCACUCAGCAAUACUGCCCUCCUCUCAACCCACUGCAGCUGUUUGGAGGAGAGCAAGAGGAGCAGUGAGGAGGGAUGACGGAGGAAGGGCAGUCACUUACACAAACAUCUAUGAACAGGUCCAGUCCCGGACAAUAAGGAGCUCUCCACUGAUCAAUGUUGGGGUAGCAGCCCGCUCUACCAAUCUCAUCUCUGUAAACCCAUUCAUCAGAUGCUACAUGUAAACUUUUUUUUGUUUCUGUUUGAGUGUGCUUGAAAGAGAAAACAUAUGUCUGAGUGUGCCACACGUGUGUGUGUGUGUGUGUGUGUGUGUGUGUGUGUGUGUGUGUGUGUGUGUGUGUGUGUGUGUGUGUGUGGGUUUGAGAGUGAGAGAGACUAUAUCAAAUGGUACUAACAGCCUGAAAAUACAUCCACAUACUGUACAUCUUAUAAGUAUAAAAAUGCAAAAUAAAAAAAAUAAAUAAAACACAAACUAAAGCAACAAGUAAUACAUACAAACCAAGUGCUUUGGUAGGGAGGUACGCCAAUUCAAAACUCAAACUGUACCAGUUAGUUGCUUCAGAAUAACGUUUCCAAGCAAGCAACUAGCACCUUAUUCACCAUGGUUAUCCCACCCUGCCAAUGAUGGACUCUAUAGGGCAUGGCUUACCAUAGUAGCUGAUAACAAUGAUGAAGGUGAAGAUGAUGAUGAUGAUGAUGAUGAUGAUGAUGAUGAUGAUGGACUGCGAGCUGACUGUUGGCCGACCAGGUCACGCAGCGACUCACCCACCGGCAUGUGAGGUGUUCAAGUACUCGUGUAAAUGUCACAACAGACAAAGAAUGGAAUAACAAUGUCUUGAAAUUUGCCAAGGUGAAAUGUGAUGUAAGCAUUUUUACAAACUUGAAGCUCAGUUUUCUUGUGUUUUUUUUUUUGUUAUGUUUUUAUUAUUAUUUUGUUGAGUUUGCUGUGGUGUAUUUCUUGAUUUAUCUUAAGGGGGAAGACGGGUUAAAAGUUGGAGAAUUGGGUGGGUUGAACCAUAUGUAAACUUGGGCUGCCCCGUGCGAGUCUCUUAGCCAACAUUAAGGUUUUCUUGUGGAGUAUGAUUUCCAGAAAGAUCAAUAUUGACACAUCAUAUAUAGCUGUGGUUCUCUUUUGUCUUGUGACCCAUUUAAAGGAUACUCCACCAGUUAUACACACUAGGAUGGGUUUACUAGAAUUUACAAAGAAUUAUUUUCAAACUCAGUUGUAAACUGUCUCCUGUGGUUUUGAAGGGAGCUUUUUUAAAAUCUGAGAAAUCAUUCCUUAUGAUGUCACUAGGGUUAGUUUGGAUUGGAUAAUUCUCAAGAAAAACUGGAAAGGUUAGAAAAAAAUCUGAAAUCAUAAAAAGGAUUUUGUGUAAUAGAAUUUCUUUAUUCUGCUUAACCAUCUCAUGACGUGUCAGAAUUGUGUUGCAACCCCUCGGGGGUUCCAGUCCACCAGGUUGGGAACAACUGAUAUAUAGGAUUUUAUUUUUUUUAUUUUCAUUUUUAUUUUUUCCAAAGAUGUGUGUCAGUUAGGUAUUAUUUUCUCAACAAAACUGUAGACAGCCUUUAAGUAAACAACAAAAUGACACAUUUUGUCCACAUUACAUAGAAAUGUAAUAGCUAUUGUUACCCAGAGAUUACCUGUGGAAACAAGGAUCAUGUAGUUUUGGAGCAUUGUACAAUACAUAAUGAUUCAAUGUACGAACCAACCCAAGUGUACAUAUGGCUCUUGGUGGGGGGGGGGGGGGGGGGGGGGGGGGGAAUCACUCUUCAAGAAGUUGCACUUAAGAACUUAGACACGAGUGUAAGACAGUGUGCGUUGGUUUGCCUGUGUGUGUGUGUGUGUGUGUGUGUGUGUGUGUGUGUGUGUGUGUGUGUGUGUGUGUGUGUGUCAGGGAGAGUAAGAAUCAGAGCUCAUUUCUGUUAAUUACUUCAUGUCUGUGUGCAGGAGCUUUAGCGUGAGAUGCUGUGUGUAUGUGUAUGUGUGUGUGUGUGUGUGUGUGUGUGAAUGGGUGAGUGAGUCUCUUUGUUUCUGCUCUUCCCUUGUGCGUAUGAGCGAGAGGGUGUGACCGAUUGUUGUCUGGCAAAAGAAAAAAAGCAUUUAAUAGUGUUGGAAACAACAGUUACAAUCAUGUUUACCUUCGACUGGAAUGACUUUAAAUGAACUUGAAAAUAAACUGUAAACUGAACAAACCAUAACAGAGGUUAUAACAAUGAUCAUGAUAACAAAAUAAUAAGCUUACAAAUCUUACUUUUAACAA